UAUGGGGUUAUUGCAUAUUUUGGGCUCCCUGUGAUAUGUUUUAUAAUACUGUAUUUCUCUGCCUAAUUAUAUUAACCAUUGUGUUCAGUAAUCAUAUCACAGGCAGAGGGGAGGAUUUUGUGUGGGAGUGUCUGUGUGCAUUGUAAGGAUUGAUUGGUUGUAUUUCAAAACCCUGUGGGCAGUACUAAGUUUGUGGAUUGUGAAUAAAAGAGGCUGUAUGUGCCAGUAC